UAGAGAGAAACACAGAGUGAAUUUUCAGUGAGACAUCACUUAGAAAUUCCCUGCACUUCUAUACUCUCCAAAGUUUUCAUCCUUGUAUUUUCAUCUUUGUAUUUCCACUCUUUGUAUUUUACUUCUUGUAUUCAAAUCCAGUUUAAUAAACUUUCUACCAGCACUUGUCAAGAGAGUCGUCGACGUAUGUGUUCCAGGCAGUAAGUCCUAAAGGCAGUGAAAUCAUUGAGAUAAUGAAAUUUCACCUACCAAAAACAAAUUCUACAAAGUACAACAAGAACGCCAAACGUAAGAGAAAUACCAAAUUUAUUACUUGUAUGGAGUGCAACAAGAUAUACGAGACGUCCAGAACCCUGCUCCAUACAGAACUUUCUCAUCAAUUUGUCUAGAAUGCCAAAUAUAAUGAAUGGAGGCUUCAGUUAAAGGAAAUAGGGAAUUCAACUAUUCUUCAACAGUAUUCAAUUUUUGAUGGGAAUAUAUUUUAUUUGAGUUAUCUUUUGAAUAUUAUUAGAGAUCCUUGCAAUUAUGAAGAUAUCUGAACCUUUAAUGGUAUAUAUGACACUUUCAAAGAAGCUUGCUAUGCAAGAGGUUAGUCCCGUUCUAUUACUUUUAAGAGCAUCAUUAUCGCUAGAUUAUAUAAUAGGGUUUUUAGUGAUUUAUUUAAUAUUAAAUUUAGGAAAGAUAAAAAGAAGAGAGAAAAAAGAGAGAAAUUGCUGGAGAAAAAAAGAAGAAAGAGAAAGGAAGAGAAAAUUUUCUGACCAAUGAAAAACUGACACAAGAAUGGUUUCUUAAAGAUCCCAAAUAAGAAACUCUCUUUAACAGAUUUGGGCUUCUCUUAAUUUUUAAUUGUUUUUGGGCUAAGAAAUCUACACAAGGACCUGUGAUAAUGAUGGUCUAAAUGUCAAUCUUAAUUUUAAUUUGAGAACUGCAUGAAAAAUCUUUAUUUCAAUAAGUUGUUUCUUUUUUGUUGUUUUUAUUCGUCUUCUAUGUUUACAGAACUUAUUAAGUGGUAAUUUAUGAAAUACGCAGUUAAAUUAUUUUCAAAAUCAUAAAUACUACAUCUGCAGCAGUUAGAUAUUAGAUAAUCAAUACGAGAGCCAAAAAAUC